UGGAUUUGUCCGUGUCAGCCUGUCCUCUACAAAAAUGUAACUCACUUCUAACUGUAUUCACUGAGACAGCACCUUGCAUUGUGAAAGAAACAGAGUCAACUGCAUCUGAUAGACGUCUUUCUCCACCAAAAUCCGGUUGGCAGCAGCAGUGAGGUUGCAGUGUGGAUCAUUGGUGACAGCUAUGGUGGCCAGAGAGCUGCAGAGAGCUUAGGAAGCAUCUUCAACCUGCCGGAUGACUCUUGGUCUGGUUGGCUUCUCCCCUUCUUUUCUCCUCCCUGUGAAGAAGUGCAGUCUGUGACGCAAAGUGUUGGUGGAAGGCUGGUGCUAAUCAGUGAACAGUGUUAUGGCUGUAUUUGUUUGUAGCUUAAAUGAUGCCAUGAUUAAAAACCCUCCUUAAUAGGUA